AUGACUAGCACAAACUGGGAUACAGAUCGAAAGAGGCGCAUGCCUCCUGCCUGGGAUCCUCCUAAACUACUCCUGGUCGUCGUCAGCGGCCUGCACAUAGUAGUAGGCACCUCUAGUGUAGUAGGAGUCGUCGUCGACGAUGGCAUCUGGCUCCUGGGCUCCAAUGUCUGGUCGCAACAACCAGGUACAGAAAGGGGGAAAAUAGGGAAGCAAAGCAACCGUGAUUACUCAUCCAAAAUACUCGCAAACAAGGAGCUACACUACAUAUGCAUUUGUAUCAAUGAAAGGGGUAGUAUAUGUGGACUAAACUGCAGAAUGCCAGAAUAA
rnacentral:rRNA from 1 species